UACGUAGGUGGCAAGCGUUGUCCGGAUUUACUGGGCAUAAAGCGCACGUAGGUGGUCCGCUAAGUCGCGUGUGAAAUCCCCCGGCUCAACCGGGGAAAUGCGCGUGAUACUGGCGGGCUUGAGAUCGGGAGGGGUGAAUGGAACUCCAGGUGGAGCGGUGAAAUGCGUAGAUAUCUGGAGGAACACCGGCGGCGAAAGCGGUUCACUGGCCCGACACUGACACUGAGGUGCGAAAGCUAGGGUAGCAAACGGG
rnacentral:rRNA from 1 species